UAUUAGUUAGAUUUCAAAAGGUCACCAGGAACACUUUCUCCUUCCUUGUAGCUUCUGUGAUUGCUUAUGUAGACGGUUCUUUGGGCUGGAGCACAAUACGGGCGUCUGUAGUUAUGACUUGAUUUAGCAGACUUUUGGAAAUUGGUAUUUGCCUUUAAUUUUCAAAUUGCUGCAGGUGACAUGGGCCUUCUUAACCACUCAAAGUAGGAAGGCAUGAUCUACAUUGAUAAAUGAUUUCCAAUUCACCCGCAAUUUAAAAACUCCCAGGGAAUCUGAAACCACAUCAUAUUCAUUGUGAUAAUGGACUUUUGGACUGAAACUCCCCUUUGUAAGAAGAUACCCAGAUAUCAAAAGCGGAACAAAUCCUGCUAAAUCUUUCCUUGAUAAUUGGAACUCCACUGUGCCAGGAACUUCCAGACCAAUAACUGGCAAUACAUCUGGGAAACGGGAGAUGGAUGUGAAAAUCUGAUAAAUUCUAACCUGAACUCUUUUGUCAUUUAUCAACUGUAUUAAGCCCCAGAAUAGGUGGGAGGGGAAGAGUUCUACUUUGUUGAAUAUAAUGUGGGUUUGUUGGAAAUGCCUCUUUGUCGUACACUCUGAAAAAGAUUUAUUGGUGUCUUCCUUU